GAGGAGUCUCGUAGAAUAUAAAAUUUACACCUGUGUAAUAUUUGUCAUAUUUGGAAGUAAGAUGAUCUGGAUUUGUCGGGUAAUUGUUGAGUCCGAUUGGAUAUUUUUAGCGGGAAUAUGACCCUUGCUUAGUCGAGAGUGUCUGCAAAGCCGCCCUUCCUGACGCCGCAGCGAUCCUGUUCUUAACGCUCGGUCCAGUUUGAGUCAGACUGAGAUGAAAACACGAUUUCAGUCAAACUAACGUGUCUUUGUACAUCUAGAAGUCAAUGUUUUUUUUUAAACAUGAUAAAUCCAUUUUUGAAGCGUCUCAGAGCUCAAGGUCGCGGCUCGCAGAGUCUCGUCAGGACAGAAGUCUGAUCGUCUGCAGGAUGAAUAAAUUAUGUUGAUCAUACGAUCUCAGAAUCAUCUUCACAUCACGUAUAACGAGGCCCCUUCAUUCAUCACACGGCUUUGUCAUGCCACCAAUCACAUAUGUGUGUGUGUGUGUGUGAGUCUUUAAUGUCAGCCUCGUUAGACGCCGUCCUUCACGGGUCCUUGGUCUCCUCUCCGUGACGACGUGCAGAAACGUCCCCAUGACAACCUUUAAAUUACGGUCAAUAAGUCACAUUAUCUCCUCCGCUGAGAUUACACGCGCUCUUUAUCCCAGUCAUCAGCACACACACACGUCUGGAGACGAAUCUCAACAUGUUUGACCAGCCGACCGACUGCUGCGCCGUUAAAACCAGCCAUCAUCGUUCCAGGGGGGCGGCGGCGGUGGCGGCGGUGAAACGGUGAAAUGAUCAGCGGCAGAUUGAGGCCUGCAGCUUGUCUUUAUCGUCUGCCUGCUGUGGAGAGACACGUUGGAGCUGAGAGGAUUGUGAUGUAGUCGGAGAAUUAGAAUAACAAUGACAGUGAGAAUCAAAUAGAGUCAUGUCUGAUGGUAAUAGCCGGCAGAUACUGAAGGUGCUUUUUCUGCUGAUUUCCCUCGAGGAAGCUGAAAUAAUUCAGCUAAUCCUGCAGCUUCCUCAGACACCGAGCGUCUCUACCUCUCUGAGCUGGUGUGUGUGUAUUUGUGCGAGAGCCUGUGGGUGAAGUGCUGUACAUAUUCAGGUACAGUGGAGCCUGUGUGGAGUCUUUCUUUAAGCAUGAGGUGAGAUGACUCAGUAACUCCAGGGGGUUGUUUGAAGAGCUGAAUCUGACGCGCUGACGGAGGUGUUUGACUGAGGGAGCGAGCUCGGGGUGAUCUUCCACUUCUCUCCUCAUGAAUCUUUGUUUGAGGGAGGUUUUUUUUACUGUUUUUUUGAGGCUGCUGACAAACUUGUCAAGCGAAAGUGCAGAGAGAAAAACUUCAGAUGAGUCAGGACUGAUGAGGAUCUCUAGACCCUGUCAUGCAAAAACCAAUCAGCAUGUUAGAUCGGUUCACAUGGACUCUAGAAUCCCAUACAGUAGUGAGAUACUCCUCU